rnacentral:rRNA from 1 species
UACGGAGGGAGCUAGCGUUGUUCGGAAUUACUGGGCGUAAAGCGCGCGUAGGCGGCUUUGUAAGUUAGAGGUGAAAGCCCGGGGCUCAACCCCGGGAGGUGGAUGGAUACUGCAAGGCUCGAGUACGGAAGAGGCGAGUGGAAUUCCCGGUGUAGCGGUGAAAUGCGCAGAUAUCGGGAGGAACACCCAUUGCGAAGGCAGCUCGCUGGGACGUUACUGACGCUGAGACGCGAAAGCGUGGGGAGCAAACAGGG